UUAAUUUAUGAGAAGUAGUUCCGCACAUUUAUUUUGUCUCUCAAUAUAUUUUUAUUUAUUUUGUCUCUCAAUAUAUUUUUAUUUAUUUUUGUUCUCCAUCAAAGAAGAAUUAAGGAAUUAAAAUAAAAAGAGUUGUGCAAGAAAUCAUUCCCUUAAUUUGGUGAUGAUAAUUUCAAACUCUUUUGGAAAUUUAACUAAUUGACCCUUUAGUUGAGUAUAAAAUAUUAAGUUAAGAGUUUUAUAUGUACGUAUAUAUGAUCAUGCAGGUUGUAUCAGCACAGACAGCCCUUCCUGUAGAGGACACAACUCAUCACGAGGAAUCAGUCAAGGCUCAAGAGAUUGUUAUCACUCCUACUACUGAAGAACCAGCAGCUGAAGUUGCGGAUGAACCAAAGGAAGCUGUUGUGGCUUCUGAGGAAGAAGUACCUAAGGCUGAGGUCGAGGAAACCGUAGUUGAAGCUGAGGCAAAGGAUGUGAAGGUAGAGGAGCCCAAGGAAGUUGCAGCAGUCGAAAAAGAAGAAGAACCAACUGUGGAGAAGACUACAACUGAAGAGGAAACUACUACACCUAAUAAGGUAGCACCUGAGCCAGAGCCAGAACCAGUACUUGAGGAGGAGGCCAAGGACAAGGAGGAUACUGCUGAUGACUCUGCUGAGAUUCCUCCGGUGGUACCAGUUACACCGGAGGCAGAAUCAGCAGUUGAGGCCCCUAAAGAGGAGGUAGCAGUUAAGGAAGAAGAGAAGGCAACUGAGGUUGAGGAGAAAGUUGGCACUGAAGCUCCUGGGGUGAAGGCUGAGUGAUUUGGGGUUUGCAUGAAUGUUAAGG
rnacentral:lncRNA from 1 species